UUUGUCUUUUAAUUUUUCUUUUUUUUUUAAAUAUACUCAUCAUUUGUUUUGGUUACCGUGUCAUGCUAUUUUUUUGUGUAAUUAUUAAUGAUUUUGAUGCUUCAUUGAUCUAACAAUUUGGUGGCAAUUUUGGUUUUUGUUUUGUUUAAUCUUUUGUACUUCGGGUGUUUUGAUUAAAAUUUUGAAUUUGAAUUUCAGUGAGAUGGCCCCUUGUAUGUUAUGAGAGGAUCCAUACAAGUACCUGCUUUGCUGUUUAUAUGAUUAGAAAUGUGGUGUUUCUUUGAUAUAUUCUUUGCUCUCAUAUUUGGGUAUUUUUAUAUUCUCGGAUUGUUUUGUAUGAAAUUUUGAGCGAGUUUAAGAAUUUUAGUUUGAAAUUACGGAAAAAAUGACCCCUGAUAUUUAUGGGCAGAAUCCACUUUCACCUGCUACAAUUGGUUUAUAGCAUGGGUAUUUCAGCAGUUCAGAUAGUAAUGUCAUAAAAGUAGUAAAUCUUUUGUCCCAUUUUAAAAGAAAUUUUGAUAAAUUUAUACAUUAAUUUGUAUCCUAUAGGAUUAAACUUGUCUUUCUCGAGUCCCUCCAGUUGCAUCUAAGAAUUUAGAAUGACUCACCCUGCUAAAUUGGGACCCAAUCCCAUGUCAAAUGAUUAAACUGUUCUAUCGGCCUUUCUCUUUGUGAAUGGGCUUAACCUUUCCAGAACGCUCGCUUGUCAUCUUAUCUUUUGAGAUAGUUAUUGCUGCAAAGUCAUUCAAGGUGAGCGUAAAUAAUAUGAAGGAGAAUUUCCCAAAGGGAACUAGCUGAAUCUGUUCAUAGGGAGCCAAUGUGUACCUUCUCUAGCUUUAGUUCGAGGGAAAAGGUAGUACGGCUAGGGAUCAUGGUAGGCGCAAGUCAUGAGUUCGAAUCCUAUUGGUGAACCAAGUCUGGUGUUUAAGUGGAGAUGGUAGAAGGUUGGCCCCAUUAUCUACUGAUUUUUGAAGCAGGAAAUAGCGAAUUUCUCGGUUAUAAAAAAACAUUUUUAAUCUGUUGUACAAAGAAAAUUCCUUUAUCAGAAGAAUCUCAGAGUGUUGAAGCCAGCUGCCAUGUUGGCUUUGCCCCAAUCUCUCCCUAAAAGUUUUUGUACCUAGAUGUAUAAUAGAUCAUGGUGCACACGAUUGGAAUUCACUAUUGUGGAUGUUUUGUCAUUUUAAUCAGAGAUGUCUCUUCAUA